AUUGAACGCUGGCGGCAGGCCUAACACAUGCAAGUCGAACGGUAACAGGAAGCAGCUUGCUGCUUCGCUGACGAGUGGCGGACGGGUGAGUAAUGUCUGGGAAACUGCCUGAUGGAGGGGGAUAACUACUGGAAACGGUAGCUAAUACCGCAUAACGUCGCAAGACCAAAGAGGGGGACCUUCGGGCCUCUUGCCAUCGGAUGUGCCCAGAUGGGAUUAGCUAGUAGGUGGGGUAACGGCUCACCUAGGCGACGAUCCCUAGCUGGUCUGAGAGGAUGACCAGCCACACUGGAACUGAGACACGGUCCAGACUCCUACGGGAGGCAGCAGUGGGGAAUAUUGCACAAUGGGCGCAAGCCUGAUGCAGCCAUGCCGCGUGUAUGAAGAAGGCCUUCGGGUUGUAAAGUACUUUCGGCGGGGAGGAAGGCGAUAAGGUUAAUAACCUUGUCGAUUGACGUUACCCGCAGAAGAAGCACCGCUAACUCCC
rnacentral:rRNA from 1 species